rnacentral:lncRNA from 1 species
CAUGCUCCCAGGUGAUAUUUAUUUACAACGUUUCGACCCUUAGGUCUUCAUCAGGCAUCCAUAUCCCAGGGGGGUGGAAGGUCCUAUAUAUAGGGGCAGUACUCAUUAGUGCACACCAUAGUAAAGCGUAGCAAAACAUUUUGCAACAGACAAAGUUUUGCAGUGAUAAUGGGCAUUGGUGCAGCAGGUAGCCUAGUGGUUAGAGUGUUGGACUAGUACUGGAAGGUCGCAAGAUUGAAUCCCCAAGCUGACAAGGUAAAAAUCUGUCGUCCUGAACAAGGCAGUUAACCCACUGUUCCAAGGCUCUCAUUGAAAAUAAGUAUUUGUUCUUAACUGACUUGCCUAGUUAGAUAAAAUUUAAAAAAUGUUAUUGGACAAGUUCAGUUUAGUCCCUCCCCAUUUUCACCCUUUUGCUUCCCUUUAGUUCCUAGUUAAUAGCCUGACCUCUAGAGAUUGUAUUUAUUUAUUUUUAUUUAACUAGGCAAAUCAGUUAAGAACAAAUUCUUAUUUACAAUGACGGCCUACCAAAAGGCAAAAGGCCUCCUGCAGGGACGGGGGCUGGGAUUAAAAAGAAAUAAAAUAUAUAUAUAGGACAAAACACACGUCACGACAAGAGAGACAACACAACUCUACAUACUACUGUAGCCAGACAGAUUAGAUGAACUGUCACUGACAUCUCCCUCCUUUGGCUGCAGGUCCCAGCUCCCCAACAGACCCCACUCAGCAGGUGUAGUGUCUAAACGGACGUCCCCAUCUGAAUGUUCCUGUUCUGGACCCAGACCACCAGCAGCACUUCAGCUCCCUCUGGCCUGUAGGGGGCUGUGUACAGUGGCUGUCUCUCCCUGAUGAGGUAUGGGUGUCCAUACUGUCACUCCUGCCACACAGAGAUCUGUCUACAGUGGCCCAGGUCUGCCUCCACUUGCUCCGACUGGCCAAUGACCACACACUAUGUAAGUCUCUGAGGAAGUGAAUGAACGAGUGAGUGAGUGAGUGUGUGUGUGUGUCUUCCUCUGUCCCCAGCUGUCCCCUAGUAAGACUCUCUGGAGAAACAGGAGUUAAUGAGAGCUGUAAAGUCACACACACACACACACACACACACACACACACACACACACACACACACACACACAGAAACAACAGUAUACCCAUA